UACGAAGGGGGCUAGCGUUACUCGGAUUGACUGGGCGUAAAGGGCGCGUAGGCGGUUUGUACAGUCAGACGUGAAAUUCCUGAGCUCAACCUGGGGGCUGCGUUUGAUACGUGCAGACUUGAGUUCGGAAGAGGGUCGUGGAAUUCCCAGUGUAGAGGUGAAAUUCGUAGAUAUUGGGAAGAACACCGGUGGCGAAGGCGGCGAUCUGGUCCGAUACUGACGCUGAGGCGCGAAAGCGUGGGGAGCAAACAGG
rnacentral:rRNA from 1 species